UACGGAAGGCAGCAGUGGGGAAUAUUGCACAAUGGGCGCAAGCCUGAUGCAGCCAUGCCGCGUGUAUGAAGAAGGCCUUCGGGUUGUAAAGUACUUUCAGUCGUGAGGAAGGUGUUAAGGUUAAUAACCUUAGCAAUUGACGUUAGCGACAGAAGAAGCACCGGCUAACUCCGUGCCAGCAGCCGCGGUAAUACGGAGGGUGCGAGCGUUAAUCGGAAUUACUGGGCGUAAAGGGCACGCAGGCGGUUAAUUAAGUUGGAUGUGAAAUCCCCGGGCUUAACCUGGGAAUGGCAUUCAAGACUGGUUAGCUAGAGUCUUGUAGAGGGGGUAGAAUUCCAUGUGUAGCGGUGAAAUGCGUAGAGAUGUGGAGGAAUCCGGUGGCGAAGGCGGCCCCUGGACAAAGACUGACGCUCAUGUGCGAAAGCGUGGGGAGCGAAACAGGGAUUAGAUACC
rnacentral:rRNA from 1 species